CCACCUCGUCCCUCCCCUCCCCUCCCCGCGCCCCCACCACCCCGUCCCUCCUCUCCCCUCCCCUCCCCCUCCCCGCGCCCCCGCCACCCCGGCCCCCGCCCGGCACCCAGGGGCCCGCCUACCCGCUCCGCCGCCGGCGCCCUCUGCGCAGCCCCGCCGCCUCCGCCCGCCCCGCCUCCGCCUCCGUCCCCGCCCGCGCCGCCCCGGGACGCCCGGCCCCCACCCCGAGCUCCGGCCCCGCUCGCCGGCUCCCCGCCCCCCCCCCCCGGACCCCGCAGGGCGCCCCCGGGACUGCGCUGCUCCCGCCUGGGCCUCGGCGUCCCCCUCCAUGAAAUGGGCGGCUCGUGAGCUCGUGGCGGGAUGCGCUGUGGGCCUCGCGGCGCCUCGGGUCCCGGUCCCGGGAGGGAAGGCAAACGGGGGAAGAAAGUGAGUCCCGAGGAGUGAGAUGCUGCGGGGACAGGUGAGCUCCAGGUGCCCCCUGCGCCCCCGUGACCCCCGGGCUGCCACUCGCUGGGGAAGGGGCCUGGAGCUGCAGGGGCAGCUGCGGUUUAUGGCAUCUGCGGCUCUAUCCUCUCGCCUUAUCUGAUCAUCACAGCAGCUCCCAGGGGAAGGCAUUUUUCCUCCUUCACUGAAGAAGCCGAGAGACUCCAAGAUUGAGCCACUGCCCCGAGGUGGCUGCCGAGCAGCCCUGGGUGGCCUGCAGGCCCGAGCCUCUGCUCCCAGGGCCCUGGGGACCCUCUGCUGUGGAGCACGUCCGCAGCUUCCCAGGCUCCGCGGCAGAGGCAGGUGGCACCCGAACUGCUUGUGUCCCCAUUCCCCGCCCCCAGGGCCCCAGGAGCUCCUCUGCCCCCAAGGCCCAAGCACGGGUCCACGGGUCCACGCACAAAGGCAGCAUCUGACCAGGGAGGAAGGCCACGCAGUUAACCUUGAUCAGAACUGUGGCUUCCUGGAGCCUAGAGUGGACAAUGUCUUCUGUCCGGAAGCCGCUCCGCCACCGGGGGCUCUACCAACACCUGUUGUCCGCUCGCCACCUCCUCGUGGGGCAGCUGUGCUGCCUGGGGCCUGGCUGGGGGCCCCGGC
rnacentral:lncRNA from 1 species